AUUGAACGCUGGCGGCAUGCCUUACACAUGCAAGUCGAACGGCAGCACGGGAGCAAUCCUGGUGGCGAGUGGCGAACGGGUGAGUAAUAUAUCGGAACGUGCCCAGUAGUGGGGGAUAACUGCUCGAAAGAGCAGCUAAUACCGCAUACGACCUGAGGGUGAAAGGGGGGGGAUCGCAAGACCUCUCGCUAUUGGAGCGGCCGAUAUCAGAUUAGCUAGUUGGUGGGGUAAAGGCCUACCAAGGCAACGAUCUGUAGUUGGUCUGAGAGGACGACCAGCCACACUGGGACUGAGACACGGCCCAGACUCCUACGGGAGGCAGCAGUGAGGAAUUUUGGACAAUGGGCGCAAGCCUGAUCCAGCAAUGCCGCGUGCAGGAAGAAGGCCUUCGGGUUGUAAACUGCUUUUGUCAGGGAAGAAAUCCUCUAGGUUAAUACCCUUGGGGGGAUGACGGUACCUGAAGAAUAAGCACCGGCUAACUACGUGCCAGCAGCCGCCGUAAGAC
rnacentral:rRNA from 1 species